rnacentral:rRNA from 1 species
CCCUUAGAUGUUCUGAGCCGCACGCGUGUUACACUGAUGCAUUCAACGAGCUUUACCUUGGCCGAGAGGCCUGGGAAAUCUUUUUAGCAUGCAUCGUGAUAGGGAUUGAUUAUUGCAAUUAUUAAUCAUGAACGAGGAAUUCCUAGUAAACGCAUUUCAUCAAAAUGCAUUGAUUACGUCCCUGCCCUUUGUACACACCGCCCGUCGCACCUACCGAUUGAGUGGUCCGGUGAAGUCUCGAGAUUGUGGCAAUCUCCUUUAUUGGAGUUUGACUGCGAGAACUUGCCUAAACCUUAUCACUUAGAGGAAGGUGAAGUCGUAACA